CGUCAGUCACCAGCUUCUCCAGGUUGGCGUACGAGCGCCCGCCGGGCCGCGUCGCGCGCACGGCGGUCUCCCGCCACUCCACCGCGCGGCGACGCAUCUCCUUCCCUUUCUCCCCGCCCAUGGCCUCCCGUAUGGCCGUAUCCUCUCCUCCACGGCCUCCCGCCGCACGUCGUGGCCGACCUCCACGCCCACGCCGCGCCCCACUCCGCGCACGUGUACCGGCAGUUGGUCUGCUGCUCCGCGAAGAAAGGCCAGCACAGCAUUGGCACCCCGGCGCAGAGGCUCUCCAGCGUCGAGUUCCACCCAGAGUGCGUCAGGAACACGCCCACCGCCUGGUGACGCAGCACCGCGUCCUGCGCGCACCAGUUCGCCAGCAGGCCGCGCCCCUCGAUCGCCUC
rnacentral:misc_RNA from 1 species